rnacentral:rRNA from 1 species
UACGUAGGGGGCUAGCGUUGUCCGGAAUCAUUGGGCGUAAAGAGCGUGUAGGCGGCCCGGUAAGUCCGCUGUGAAAGUCGGGGGCUCAACCCUCGAAUGCCGGUGGAUACUGUCGGGCUAGAGUGCGGAAGAGGCGAGUGGAAUUCCUGGUGUAGCGGUGAAAUGCGCAGAUAUCAGGAGGAACACCGAUUGCGAAGGCAGCUCGCUGGGACGUAACUGACGCUGAGACGCGAAAGCGUGGGGAGCAAACAG